UACGGAGGGGGCAAGCGUUGUUCGGAUUUACUGGGCGUAAAGGGCGCGUAGGCGGUUUAGCAAGUCACUUGUGAAAUCUUUGGGCUUAACUCAAAGCGGCCAAGUGAUACUGCUAGACUAGAGUGCAGAAGGGGCAAUCGGAAUUCUUGGUGUAGCGGUGAAAUGCGUAGAUAUCAAGAGGAACACCUGAGGCGAAGGCGGAUUGCUGGGCUGACACUGACGCUGAGGCGCGAAAGCUAGGGUAGCAAACGGG
rnacentral:rRNA from 1 species